AUUGAACGCUGGCGGCAGGCUUAACACAUGCAAGUCGAACGAGUGGCGGACGGGUGAUUAAUGUCUGGGAAACUGCCUGAUGGAGGGGGAUAACUACUGGAAACGGUAGCUAAUACCGCAUACCAUCAGAUGUGCCCAGAUGGGCUUAGCUAGUAGGUGGGGUAACGGCUCACCUAGGCGACGAUCCCUAGCUGGGCUGAGAGGAUGACCAGCCACACUGGAACUGAGACACGGUCCAGACUCCUACGUGAGGCAGCAGUGGGGAAUAUUGCACAAUGGGCGCAAGCCUGAUGCAGCCAUGCCGCGUGUGUGAAGAAGGCCUUCGGGUUGUAAAGCACUUUCAGCGGGGAGGCGUUACCCGCAGAAGAAGCACCGGCUAACUCCGUGCCAGCAGCCGCGGUAAGAC
rnacentral:rRNA from 1 species